CACGUAGUUAGCCGGUGCUUAUUCUUCAGGUACCGUCAUUAGUAAAGGAUAUUAGCCUCUACCGUUUCUUCCCUGACAAAAGAGCUUUACAACCCGAAGGCCUUCUUCACUCACGCGGCAUUGCUGGAUCAGGCUUGCGCCCAUUGUCCAAAAUUCCCCACUGCUGCCUCCCGUAGGAGUCUGGACCGUGUCUCAGUUCCAGUGUGGCUGGUCGUCCUCUCAGACCAGCUACUGAUCGUCGCCUUGGUGAGCCUUUACCUCACCAACUAGCUAAUCAGAUAUCGGCCGCUCCAGGAGCACAAGGUCCGAAGAUCCCCUGCUUUCAUCCUUAGAUCGUAUGCGGUAUUAGCGUAACUUUCGCUACGUUACUCCCCCAUCUUGGGUACGUUCCGAUAUAUUACUCACCCGUUCGCCACUCGCCGCCUACGGUUACCCCGCGCUGCCGUUCGACUUGCAUCGUGUAAAGCAGUCGCCGCCAGCGUUCAAUCUGGAGCCCGAGGACUACAAAACUU
rnacentral:rRNA from 1 species